CGGAUUAAGAAAACCGGCGCACGGGUGCGUAACGCGUAUGCAACUUGCCCUUAUCAGGAGGAUAGCCCGGGGAAACUCGGAUUAAUACUCCAUGAGAUUUUGAUUGGCAUCGAUUAAAAUUGAAAGAUUUAUUGGAUAAGGAUAGGCAUGCGUCAGAUUAGUUAGUUGGUAGUGUAACGGACUACCAAGGCGAUGAUCUGUAGGGGGCCUGAGAGGGUGAACCCCCACACUGGUACUGAGACACGGACCAGACUCCUACGGGAGGCAGCAGUGAGGAAUAUUGGACAAUGGAGGGAACUCUGAUCCAGCCAUCCCGCGUGCAGGAAGACGGCCUUAUGGGUUGUAAACUGCUUUUGUAUGGGGAUAAAUCUACUUACGUGUAGGUAGUUGAAGGUACCAUACGAAUAAGCAUCGGCUAACUCCGUGCCAGCAGCCGCGGUAAUACGGAGGAUGCAAGCGUUAUCCGGAUUCAUUGGGUUUAAAGGGUCCGUAGGCGGGCUGAUAAGUCAGUGGUGAAAUUUUGUCGCUUAACGAUAAAACUGCCAUUGAUACUGUUAGUCUUGAGUGAUAUUGAAGUAGCUGGAAUGUGUAGUGUAGCGGUGAAAUGCAUAGAUAUUACACAGAACACCGAUUGCGAAGGCAGGUUACUAAGUAUUAACUGACGCUGAAGGACGAAAGCGUGGGGAGCGAACAGGAUUAGAUACCCUGGUAGUACACGCA
rnacentral:rRNA from 1 species